rnacentral:rRNA from 1 species
AUUGAACGCUGGCGGCAUGCCUUACACAUGCAAGUCGAACGGCAGCACGGGUGCUUGCACCUGGUGGCGAGUGGCGAACGGGUGAGUAAUACAUCUGGACAUGUCCUGUAGUGGGGGAUAGCCCGGCGAAAGCCGGAUUAAUACCGCAUACGAUCUACGGAUGACAGCGGGGUCACUUCGGGCCUCGCGCUAUAGGGUUGGCCGAUGGCUGAUUCGCUAGUCGGUGGGGUAAAGGCCUACCAAGGCGAGGACCAGGAGCGGGUCUGAGAGGACGACCAGCAAAACUGGGACUGGGACACGGCCAGGACUCCUAGGGGAGGCAGCAGUGGGGAAUUUUGGACAAGGGGCGAAAGCCUGAUCCAGCAAUGCGGCGUGUGUGAAGAAGGCCUUCGGGUUGUAAAGCACUUUUGUCCGGAAAGAAAUCCUUGGCCCUAAUACGGUCGGGGGAUGACGGUACCGGAAGAAUAAGCACCGGCUAACUACGU